rnacentral:rRNA from 1 species
AGUGAACGCUGGCGGUAGGCCUAACACAUACAAGUCGAACGGCAGCACAGUAAGAGCUUGCUCUUACGGGUGGCGAGUGGCGGACGGGUGAGGAAUACAUCGGAAUCUACUUUUUCGUGGGGGAUAACGUAGGGAAACUUACGCUAAUACCGCAUACGACCUACGGGUGAAAGCAGGGGAUCUUCGGACCUUGCGCGAUUGAAUGAGCCGAUGCCGGAUUAGCUAGUUGGCGGGGUAAAGGCCCACCAAGGCGACGAUCCGUAGCUGGUCUGAGAGGAUGAUCAGCCACACUGGAACUGAGACACGGUCCAGACUCCUACGGGAGGCAGCAGUGGGGAAUAUUGGACAAUGGGCGCAAGCCUGAUCCAGCCAUACCGCGUGGGUGAAGAAGGCCUUCGGGUUGUAAAGCCCUUUUGUUGGGAAAGAAAAGCAGCAGGUUAAUACCCCGCUGUUCUGACGGUACCCAAAGAAUAAGCACCGGCUAACUUCGUG